rnacentral:lncRNA from 1 species
AUUUGUGGAAAAAGAGAAUUCCUCCUUUAAUCUUCUUUUUAUAGCUUUUUAAAGAUUUAUGGAUGUAGUUGUUGAAGGGAAAAAGAAAAAUUCAUGUUUCUUUCUCCUGCUUGCUAGCUUGUGAAACUAAGAAGGAAAUGAUUGUUUCAUUCAGUUUGAAUCAUAUUUAUUGAAUGGCCAAAGGAUGUAAAUAGCCUUUGUAAAAGAUAAAGGAUAACCCAGAUGGAAAGGACGAUUAUUAAGAAAAGAGGUACUUGUGACAUAAUGUAAAAGCCUUUCUCACUCCUGUUUUUCCCUGUAACAAUUGAUUUUAUUUUUGUUUUAGACCUAGAAGGUUUUGACUCCGUGGUAUCCUCUACUGAGAAACUCAGUCACCCAACCACAAGCAGACCAAAAGCUACAGGGAGGCGGCCCCCAUCCCAGUCGCUCACAUCUGUAAGUGUUUCCUCCUCAGGUCUCCUUGCUUCUCUACAGCUGAAAAGCAGGAAACAUUAGAGAUUCUCGCCAAGGACUCUUCUGCAAAUGGCUGAUUGGAGACACCCGAGGAGAGGGAGGCCAUGAGAUACACUGCCAACUAAAUGUGAUUUAAAAGUCUUCUUGAAUCAAGCAGUAUUUCUAUUUGUUCUUUGUGUUUCUGCCAGCAAGGUGGCACACCCUCUUCCCUCCCACCUUCCCUCUCUUUCCUUCUAGGCUGAUUCUUGCUUGAACCUGAAAUGAAAUUGGUAAGAAAAAUGUCAGGUUUUAUGGUGGGAAAAGGAAAAUGAGGCUGGUGUGGAUCAUAAACAAGACAAAAGAUUUACUAAAUAAAGAUCUGCCGCUAUACAGUGCUAGGCAGUAGCCUUUGUCUCCCAAAGCUCUGUCAUCUUCACCCUUCCAUGGAAUAGCAUGUGGACCUUCAGAAAAUUGUUUUUAGACUUAUGAGGCAGCUGGUUAUAUAGAAGACACCAAUCAGAACAAACAUGAUAACCCACAGAAAUUUUUUGUUUUGGUCAUUUGGAAUAACUUCUCAUUGCAAACCUGUUACUUAGACCAGAUUUUUAAGAACAUGAUUUAUAAAGAAAGUAAACUUGUAAUCCUUCCCCUAAAACAAAAAACUAUUAACCUCUUACUAUAUAUCCUUAGUUUUUUAAUUUCUAUUUUGUAUGUAUAAAAUUAUUUCUUCAAAAAUGGAGAUUAUAUAGUAUAUAUUGUUUUGGACCUUGCUUUCCCCACCUUAAAUUGCACACCUUUCUCCCCAAUCAUUGCCCCUUCUUCCAGAACAACACAUUUAAUGGCUGCCUACUCUUCUAAUGUGUGAGUAUAUGACAGUUAAACCAGUGUACUAUUACUGGAUAUGUAUGUUGUUUCUGGUUCUGUGGAAAAAUCUUGGUGCUGCUCCCAAAUUAUUCAUUAGGCACAAAUUUUGUGAAAUUAGGUCAAAAGGAAAUGCAUAGUUUGCUUUUGCCAUAGUUUGUAAAUUUCCUUUCCACAAAGAUUAAAAAUACCUUCCGUAAGCAGUAUGUGUGUGUGUGUGUGUGUGUGUGUUCGUUCGAUCUGUCAUCUAUCUAUCUGUCUGUCUGUCUGUCUAAUCUAUCUCUAAUUAUCACAUUGCCUUGUUCUUGCAGCUCUAAGGUCUUAUAACCUCCACCUAGAUACACCAAGGAAUUAACCUUUCGUAGGUUUCCCAGGACACUUUCUCUUCUCACCUCAUCACUAAUCCCUCAUAAGCUGUCACCAUUUAGAAGAAAAAGAAUGCCACUUCCUUUGAGCCUCUUCUCUCAUAUCUACUGAGUCUGUAAGUGUGGUUUAAAUCGUCCUAUUUGUCCUCUUUGUAUGAAACAAACCUAACUUUGCAUUGACACCUUUUUGAGAGAAAGACUUGAAAAAGCGGCUUCCUUUUUCACUGUUCUGUAGAGUUCUGUGGCAAUGCCGCCUUCUUUCCUCUCUUCCUUUCCUUCUCUCUCUUCACACCCCACCUCAACAUGCACGUACACACAGUCUAUUUCAUUGCUUCUUAGCAUCUUUCCAUUUCAAUUUCUCAGUCCUCUCUCUUCCACCUUCUCUAUAAAUCCUUCAUCAUUUUUAUUUUCUUUCCAGUUUCUCUCCAACUUUUCAAGGUCUAGAGAGCCCUGUGGCUUCCAGAAUUAAAUAACAGAUUUGAAUUACCAUCCUCACCUCAGUCCAUGCAUCCCCUGCCUGGGAGUUGUGUGUACUUUUGGGACAAAGUUAAGGCAUCUCAUCCCUCCCACUUUUAAACUAUACAGUUGUUCAUUCAUGCAACAGAUGUUUAUAGACAUCUAUCCCAUGUGGACCAGAUACUGUGCCAGGUACCAAGGAUCUAACUGGGAAUGAGAACUACACAGCUACUGCCUGCAGAAAGCUUAUAGCACAGUGACUCAAAACUUGACAUUUUAUAGGGAGUGAUUCUGCUUAUGGACUUAUGACAACAGGAUACAUUUGUGCUUUAAUGAAUUAUAGUGACCAUGUUCUCUUCCCUUCAUUCCCAUCUGCCCCCAUUUGGAUGUAUACAUUGAAUUCCUAUUUACUCUUCUUACAGUUAGCCCUUGUGGGUUUUCCAUAGCAAAAUGGAAUCGGUGGAUAGGGACAUAUUGCUAAAAUGCCACUAGGGGAAUGAUUGAGGAAAUGUGCCUGUCAUGGUUCCCCAGCCUGUGGCCGUUCAUCCUAAUUGAAGCUAUUUAUGUUUAUAGGAUUCAAAGAGCAAGGUUUGAUUGGCAGCUUGUGCAACACAGGUUAUAUAGGAAGAAAUAGGCUUUUUGAAUAAAAUCUCAAAAUUAAAGGAUCCAGGCAUUGUGUGGUAGUUAAGCAGUUAAGCCUAGAUUAAUAAGAAAGCUUGGUUGGGGGUGUUAUUUUAGGUAAUUGGAUUUUCAGAUUAAAUGAAGAUUAACAAGUAAGAUCUCUUAAAGCACAAACUUUGCUUAAAAAUUCCCUAAAAUAUAUUAAGUUUCUGCCUUAAUAAGUAAACAGAAGAAAACAAACAAUAUUUACAGGCAUAAUUUUUCUAUAAUGACUUUAAAUGGUGAUUCUGAAAAGGAUUUUUUUUUUUUUACCACAGGGAUAGAAGGCAGAGGGAUAAGGCUGAAUAUGAGCUCACCCCAAGAUAUCUCUGGAAGAUUCUUUAUUUUAAAAGAUUCCUUGCUAUGGGAAUUUUAAUUUUCAUUUGCUUUGUUCUAAAAUAGCUCAAGAAUCAUUUCUGACCAAGUGAAUUCUGGUGAAUUGGUCCCCAUUCAUCUGCUUUUCGAUCUUCACAAUGAUCCUCACAAUGAGGCAGAAAGGGCAGGGGAUGUUGUCUC